rfam:Oryzias latipes DNA, chromosome13, strain: Hd-rR.
GUUUCUGUAGUGUAGUGGUUAUCACGUUCGCCUAUAAAGCGAAAGGUACUCAGCUUGAAACUGGGCAGAAGCA